rnacentral:rRNA from 1 species
AUUGAACGCUGGCGGAAUGCUUUACACAUGCAAGUCGAACGGCAGCACGGGGGCAACCCUGGUGGCGAGUGGCGAACGGGUGAGUAAUACAUCGGAACGUGCCCAGUCGUGGGGGAUAACGUAGCGAAAGCUACGCUAAUACCGCAUACGAUCUACGGAUGAAAGCGGGGGAUCGCAAGACCUCGCGCGAUUGGAGCGGCCGAUGGCAGAUUAGGUAGUUGGUGGGGUAAAGGCUCACCAAGCCUUCGAUCUGUAGCUGGUCUGAGAGGACGACCAGCCACACUGGGACUGAGACACGGCCCAGACUCCUACGGGAGGCAG